GGGCCGGUGGUCUAGCGUGGUAGGACGCUGCCCUUACGAGGCAGAGGUCGGCGGUUCAAGUCCGCCCCGGCCCA
rnacentral:tRNA from 1 species